rnacentral:rRNA from 1 species
UACGAGGGGGGCGAGCGUUGUUCGGAAUUAUUGGGCGUAAAGGGCGCGUAGGCGGUGCGGUAAGUCACCUGUGAAACCCCCGAGCUCAACUUGGGAAUUGCAGUGGAUACUGGCAGGCUGGAGUAUGGUAGAGGAAGGUGGAAUUCCCGGUGUAGCAGUGAAAUGCGUAGAGAUCGGGAGGAACACCAGUGGCGAAGGCGGCCUUCUGGACCAAUACUGACGCUCAUGCACGAAAGCGUGGGGAGCAAACAGG